rnacentral:rRNA from 1 species
AUACGGAGGGGGUUAGCGUUGUUCGGAAUUACUGGGCGUAAAGCGUACGUAGGCGGACUGGAAAGUUGGGGGUGAAAUCCCGGGGCUCAACCCCGGAACUGCCUCCAAAACUUCCAAUCUUGAGAUCGAGAGAGGUGAGUGGAAUUCCAAGUGUAGAGGUGAAAUUCGUAGAUAUUUGGAGGAACACCAGUGGCGAAGGCGGCUCACUGGCUCGAUACUGACGCUGAGGUACGAAAGCGUGGGGAGCAAACAGGAUUAGAAACCCUAGUAGUCC